GAAUUAUCCUGCAGUCGAGAUUCCUACGGGAGGCAGCAGCUAAGAAUCUUCCGCAAUGGGCGAAAGCCUGACGGAGCGACGCCGCGUGGACGAAGAAGGCCGGAAGGUUGUAAAGUCCUUUUCCUGGGGGAGAAUAAUGCGGGGAGGGAAUGCCCUGCAGAUGACGUGAACCAGGGAAUAAGCCCCGGCUAAUUACGUGCCAGCAGCCGCGGUAACACGUAAGGGGCGAGCGUUGUUCGGAUUUAUUGGGCGUAAAGGGCGUGUAGGCGGUAGUGCAAGUCUGGUGUGAAAGGCCCCGGCUCAACCGGGGAAGCGCGCUGGAAACUGUGCUGCUAGAGUUUAGGAGGGGAAGCUGGAAUUCCUGGUGUAGGGGUGAAAUCUGUAGAGAUCAGGAAGAACACCGGAGGCGAAGGCGAGCUUCUGGCCAUAGACUGACGCUGAGGCGCGAAAGCGUGGGGAGCAAACAGGAUUAGAUACCCUGGUAGUCCACGCUGUAAACGAUGUGCACUAGGUGUUGGGGGUAUGAACUCUCGGUGCCGGAGCUAACGCGUUAAGUGCACCGCCUGGGGAGUACGCCGGCAACGGUAAAACUCAAAGGAAUUGACGG
rnacentral:rRNA from 1 species